rnacentral:rRNA from 1 species
AGAACGAACGCUGGCGGCGUGCUUAACACAUGCAAGUCGAGUGCGCGCCUGUAGCAAUACAGGUGGCGCACGGCGCACGGGUGCGUAACACGUGGGUAAUCUGCCCUUCGAUGGGGAAUAACUCGCCGAAAGGCGAGCUAAUUCCGCAUAACAUUCCAAGGACUUCGGUUUUUGGACUCAAAGGCGUAAGUCGUCGGAGGAGGAGCCCGCGCACGAUUAGCUAGUUGGUGAGGUAAUGGCUCACCAAGGCUAUGAUCGUUAGCUGGUCUGAGAGGAUGGCCAGCCACACUGGAACUGAGACACGGUCCAGACUCCUACGGGAGGCAGCAGUGGGGAAUCUUGCACAAUGGGCGAAAGCCUGAUGCAGCGACGCCGCGUGGGGGAUGAAGCUUCUCGGAGUGUAAACCCCUUUCGACCCGGACGAAUACCUCGUAAGAGGGGUGACGGUACGGGUAUAAGAAGCCCGGCUAACUACGUGCCAGCAGCCGCGGUAAU